rnacentral:rRNA from 1 species
AGUGAACGCUGGCGGUAGGCCUAACACAUGCAAGUCGAACGGCAGCACAGUAAGAGCUUGCUCUUACGGGUGGCGAGUGGCGGACGGGUGAGGAAUACAUCGGAAUCUACUUUUUCGUGGGGGAUAACGUAGGGAAACUUACGCUAAUACCGCAUACGACCUACGGGUGAAAGCAGGGGAUCUUCGGACCUUGCGCGAUUGAAUGAGCCGAUGUCGGAUUAGCUAGUUGGCGGGGUAAAGGCCCACCAAGGCGACGAUCCGUAGCUGGUCUGAGAGGAUGAUCAGCCACACGGGAACGGAGACACGGUCCAGACUCCUACGGGAGGCAGCAGUGGGGAAUAUUAGACAAUGGGCGCAAGCCUGAUCCAGCCAUACCGCGUGGGUGAAGAAGGCCUUCGGGUUGUAAAGCCCUUUUGUUGGGAAAGAAAAGCAGCAGGUUAAUACCCCGCUGUUCUGACGGUACCCAAAGAAUAAGCACCGGCUAACUUCGUG